GAAGCUGGAAUCGCUAGUAAUCGCGGAUCAGAAUGCCGCGGUGAAUACGUUCCCGGGUCUUGUACACACCGCCCGUCACACCAUGGGAGUCGGAAAUGCCCGAAGUCUGUGACCCAACCUACGGGAGGGAGCAGCCGAAGGCAGGUCGGAUGACUGGGGUGAAGUCGUAACAAGGUAUC
rnacentral:rRNA from 1 species